rnacentral:rRNA from 1 species
GAUCCUGGCUCAGGAUGAACGCUGGCGGCGUGCCUAACACAUGCAAGUCGAACGGAGUUAUUUUGGAAAUCUCUUCGGAGAUGGAAUCUUUAACUUAGUGGCGGACGGGUGGGUAAUGCGUGAGCAACCUGCCCUUCAGAGGGGGACAACAGUUGGAAACGACUGCUAAUACCGCAUAAUGUAUUCGGGAGGCAUCUCCUGGAUACCAAAGGAGAAAUCCGCUGAUGGAUGGG